GAAUAUGAUUUUAAGUCUGGCCUGCCCAAUGAUUAAUUUAAUGGCCGCGGUAUAUUGACCGUGCAAAGGUAGCAUAGUCAUUAGUUUUUUAAUUGGAAGCUUGUAUGAAAGGUUUAAUGAGAAAAAGGCUGUCUCUAAAUGAGUUUAUUAGAAUUUUAUUUUUAAGUGAAAAAGCUUAAAUAUUUAUGGAAGACGAGAAGACCCUGUAGAGUUUAAUAAAUAAUUGAUUAUUUAAGGUUAAGGGUCUAUAAUGAAUUGAAUUUGUAUUUAUUUAUUUUAUUGGGGUGAUAGGAAAAUUUGUUAAACUUUUCUUUAUUUUUAUACUAAUGUGUAGGUAUAUGAUCCUUGUUUGAAGAUUAAAAGAGUAAAUUACCUCAGGGAUAACAGCGUUAUUUUUUUUAGAGUUCUUAUCGAAAAAAUAGAUUGCGACCUCGAUGUUGGAUUAAAAUUUACUAUAGGUGUAGAAGCUUAUAAGUUGGGUCUGUUCGACCUUUAAAAUUUUACAUGAUCUGAGUUUAAACCGGUGUGAGCCAGGUCGG
rnacentral:rRNA from 1 species